GGAAGUGGCACACUGCUCAGUAACACGUAGCUAACCUACCCUUAGGACGUGGAUACCCCCGAGAAAUUGGGGUUAAUCCGCGAUAGAUGUAAUGUCCUGGAAUGGUAUUACGUCUAAAGGUAUUUCAUACAUGUUUGAAAUAUGCCUAAGGAUGGGGCUGCGGCCGAUCAGGCUGUUGGUGAGGUAAUGGCUCACCAAACCUUUGACCGGUACGGGCCAUGAGAGUGGUAGCCCGGAGAUGGACACUGAGACAAGGGUCCAGGCCCUAAGGGGCGCAGCAACCGCGAAACCUCCACAAUGCACUCACGUGCGAUGGGGCUAUCUCGAGUGCCACCUGAUGAAGGUGGCUUUUCCUUGGUCUUCAAAGCCUUGGGAAUAAGAGGGGGGCAAGACUGGUGUCAGCCGCCGCGGUAACACCAGCCCCUCGAGUGGUGGGGAUGAUUAUUUGGCCUAAAGCGUCCGUAGCCGGCCGAGCAAGUCUUCCGUUAAAUCCAGCGUCUCAAGCGUUGGACCGCGGGAGAUACUACACGGCUAGAGAGUGGGAGAGGUCAGCGGUAUUCUGGGGGUAGGGGCGAAAUCCUUUGAUCCCCGGAGGACCACCAGUGGCGAAGGCUGCUGACUAGAACACGUCUGACGGUCAGGGACGAAAAGCUGGGGUAGCGAACCGGAUUAGAUACCCGGGUAGUCCCAGCCGUAAACGAUGCAUGCUAGGUGUUGGGUUGGCCACGAGCCACCCCAGUGCCGCAGGGAAGCCGUUAAGCAUGCCGCCUGGGAAGUACGAUCGCAAGAUUGAAACUUAAAGGAAUUGGCGGGGGAGCACCACCAGGCGUGAAGCCUGCGGUUUAAUUGGAGUCAACGCCGGGAACCUUACCGGGAGCGACAGCAGGAUGAAGGCCAGAUUGAAGAUCUUGCCAGACGAGCUGAGAGGAGGUGCAUGGCCGUCGCCAGAUCGUGCCGUGAGGUGUUCUCUUAAGUGAGAUAACGAACGAGACCCGUGCCACAUGUUGCCACCAGUAUCUAAAGGAUAGCUGAGCACUCUUGUGGGACCGCAGCCGAUAAGGCUGAGGAAGGUACGGGCAACGGCAGGUCAGUAUGCCCCGAAUCUCCCGGGCCACACGCGGGCUGCAAUGGUACAGACAGAGGGCUGCCACCCCGAAAGGGGGAGCCAAUCCCUAAACUGUACCUCAGUUGGGAUCGAGGGUUGCAACCCACCCUCGUGAACAUGGAAUGCCUAGUAACCGCCAGUCAUCAUCUGGCGGUGAAUACGUCCCUGCUCCUUGCACACACUGCCCGUCGAACCACCCGAAUGAGGUUUGGGUGAGGAAUGGUCGAAUGUUGGCCGUUUCGAACCUGGGCCUCGUAAGGAGGGUUAAGUCGUAACAAGGUG
rnacentral:rRNA from 1 species